GGCCCCAUCGUCUAACGGUUAGGACGCACGGUUCUCAUCCAUGUAACAGGGGUUCGAUUCCCCUUGGGGCUA
rnacentral:tRNA from 1 species